rnacentral:lncRNA from 1 species
AGCUACAACAAGCUGAUGUUUGGGCAGGGGACAAGUUUAACAGUCGUUCCAAGGAGCCUGCCUGCAAGCUUUCCCCAGGAGGUUUUUGUUAGAGGGUGUAUGGCUGUGGCAAUAACAACGACCUACGCUUUGGAGCAGGGACCAGACUGACAGUGAAAGCAAGUAAGUGAGGGGAGCGGGUCAAUCUGAAAGGCUGGCCUGAGCAGCACUGCUGUUCCAUGCAGUUCUGAGGGCUUAAGACACUGCCUCUCCCAAGAGGGUGGAUCCACCUAGUUUCUUUGUACCCGAGCUGGUUGGAAGUCUGUUUGUUGGUGAAUUCUGGCAAUCCUAGGAAUUAAGUCAUGAAAAAGUAGAGAGUUCACCAGUUUCUUCAUUGGCUCUGGGUAUAUAGAAAAGCUAACAAUAAUGUGCAAGGCCAUAUUCUGUAAGAAGACCAAGGAAAAAUAUCUAACAGCUCAAAGAUCAGGUUUUCCUUGUUAAGACCCUCUCCUUCCCAAGAGUACUGUCAGCUCUUUGGUUGGGGCUUUUUAUUGGGUUUUGUUGUUGUUAUUAUUUGUAGGAACUAUGAAAGUGGCAUGGUCCCUAGUCCCCAGAAUAGCUCCUCUCUGACCCCCUCUGCUAGAUGGCAUGUCUCUGCCUAACCUUGCAGUGGUCCCAGGUGUCUCAGGCAUGAGUCAGCCAUUGGAACCCAGUGUUCUGGAAGCAAAACUAGUGGUUUUAGAUCAAGCUCCGAUCUGUCUGCACAGCCGACUGUUAUUUUUAGAGGAAUGUCUUAUCCCUGCCAAGGAGCUGGGAGCUGAGGCUGCAGAGUGCUGAGACUUCCACUAGAGGGGAAAGCGGUCUCACUUGUUUGGGGUCCCCCUCCAUCCUUCCCACCCACUGAUUAUUGUAAGGCCCUGUAUGACUGUGUGAAUUUUGGAGGCAGCCAAGGAAAGCUGACCUUUGGAAAAGGCACUAUGGUCUCCGUUAAACCAAGUAAGUGUUGGGGGUCUCAGAGACGAAUCAGUGAGUGCAGCUAAAGCACAACCCAGAGUGAAGGAGCAGAAAUUCACCAACCCCUUUCUCUGUGGUGUCCACCCACCCUUCACCCAUGAGCCCAUAGAGCUGCUCCUGGACCAGGCCCCUGGCUGUCCUCAAUUGCCUCUGCUGGAGGUAGGAAGCCACUGGGCUUCAUAGGGUGUCACAGGGCUCCCUUCCCAGGAUGGCACUUCUCAGGAGUGCUCACCCAUCUCGCUGUGGUGAAUGGGUGACCUUCUCAGCAACAUUCUCAUGGAAGACAGCCGUGGAUGACCCACCCUCUGUGUGACAGUUGUGUGAUGGGUGUUUAGACAUUAGAUUGAAUGGGGGAUCACGUGAGGAACAGAGGCAGAGUGGCUACUGAGGGGGGUUUUGGUUUAGGAAAAAUGCACUGUGGUACUCAGACACCGGCUAUGCACUCAGCUUUGGCAAAGGCACCACACUGCUGGUCACACCCGGUGAGUUCUUGCGGGUAACUCAUUAUCCUUUCUGGAAAGAAAUCCAAAGGGACCUGUUGAAACACAACUGAAUUUAAUUGCUUCGUUUAGUGUGCAGUUGUUAACUAUGUCGGAUGUGUGAGCAAGAUAAGAAGACGCGUUUCCCUGGGGGCUGGAUCUGGUUAUCAGUUCUGUGGGCAGUUUGAUAGAUUGUAUUAAUACUGUAGUCAGUGUUUCUUGAAGGUCCACAAAGCACGUGGAAGCUUUGGGAAAGAGGCAGAGAUAAGAGGCAGAAAAGCUUUGCGACAGAGAAACAAACUAGUGGAAAGGGAGGCUACCAAAGCAGCUGCGUGUUGCCGCGGAAGCGUGUCCCUAACAGAUUAAGUGCUGUAGACCCAGUUGGGUUUGGGCCGUGUCCCCUGGUAGAACUGGAAAAUCUGGCACAUGGACCGAGGGCUUGGGUGAGGGGUGGGCAGCAGGAGCUACAAGAGAGAAAAGUGGAACAAUACAAAUUUCUCUGGAGAGAGGACCAUGGCAGUGGAAGCCCCCUCUUCACUGCAGGGACAAAGCAGUUCCCCACAGGGACUUCUCCCCUGCACCCAGGUUGGCUGAGUCAACCCUGCAGCAGCGGCAGGGAAUCCCCGUACCUUAGAGACCCCUUCCNUGAAUGUGUGAGUUGUGAAGGUGUCAGGGAGAGGGGAAGAGAGAUGGAUUAGAGACAGCAAUAUUGAGAAUUUACAGGUUAUCUCCACACUUGCAGAGUUCAGCGUGUGGGGGUUUGGGUUUUGGCUUGUUGUUGUUGUUGUUAGAAUUGCAGAAACUGGGCUGCUUUCCACGCAGGCGCACUCUUUGCAGAAAUUCACCGCAGAAAUCUCACUCUCAGUAGGAUUUUGUCAACCAUCCCCAGUGCCUGAACCAGGUGUGGCAAUAAGGUAACGGGGCUGAUUUGUUAACGAAUGGAGUUUAUACAUUUAAAUGUCAAACCACUCAGCCCGAAGAGGCACAGACUUCCGCCCCACCUCCCACCGCAGCCCCAGCCUCUCUACUGCCCACCUCUUCUUUUGAAUCUGCCCUCCGAGGGCCUGGCACAUUCUUUUCGUUAGCUUUAUCUUUUGAAGGUAGAUUUCAUUUUUAUGAAUAAUCCAAAGGCCCUCAGAGCCAUGACUUAUAAAUAAAAGAGGGAUUCAAACUAAUUACUGGCAUUGUUUUGGUUCCCCAAAAUGGAGUGUGACCAUAAAAUAAUGUCAUUAGAGUGUUUGCGUGGCCCCUAACUGCUUCUCAGAGAGAGUCCUAAAAAGGAGGACUUCGAAAGAUUCAGCCAUCAUUCAGAUGUUUAAAUCCUGACAUGUUUGUUCAAACAGCCUCUUUACUUAAUAAACACGCUUAAGAUAAACAUAGCAUGAGAUAGAGGAAGUUUUGCAAGCCCGGACCUCAUCAAAGCACAGAGACUUUCAGUAUGAACUGAGCUAUUAUCCCAAGUAAAGCCCAUGUAGAAAAACACGAGGUCAAAACCUUCUGAUGGCAAAAGUGCCUACAAUAUCCUAAUUGACAGCAAAGCUACCCCGAGAAAUGGUAACCCUAUGGAAGUUUAUGUAGAGACACAUAGCACUGUGACUCAGGAAGCUUCAAAUACAUCUUUGGAGCAGGCACAAGGCUACAGGUUUUACCAAGUGAGUAUUGCAACCAAGACAAUUUUAAAUGUUAUUGGUGUCUGACAGGCAAGGGCAGGUAAAAUAAGCGAAAUACUUGCUAUAAACCAUGGAAGCAAAAAUCACAGCUGUCUGAGGUGGCCAUUCUUGGCCCCUCUGCUCUGGUCAGGAGGGGUGAAGGAGAGCUUGGAGGUUCACUGGGAUCAACUUACCACCAGUUUCAUAAGAAUUAGACUAGUUACGAGAAAAUAUUUGUUAGGUAAAGAAAGACUUUGAGAGACUCCUCUGGACAGAGGAAUUUUUUUAAAACUGUGCUACUCUCAUUCCACAUUUUUCACUCACUUUACCUAUACUUCUUUGUCCAACUCAACACUUCAUCUAGACAUGCAUGUUUUGAGAAACCAUCAGGUCCACUUCUGAGCCUCUCUAGAAUCUGCACCCUUUCUGUUCUCCAAAUUCCCUUUCUCAAAUGCUCUGUUCUGGGCAAACUGGACACCUACUUCUCCUGCCUGCUUACACAUGCCCACACCUGUACCUGUGUCCAUAAAUCAGACACCGUGGACGAAGCACUGAAGACAGACUAGCAAUACGUGAAACAAAUUGUUACUCAGCCUCAAGACCCAGCACAGAUGUCACCAGAUUUAACUUUACAGGGAGAACUUGAGAAACUAUAUUCCUUUUUAAAAAUUAGGGAGGCUCAGGUAAGAGAUCCAGCAGGCAAAUAGCAAAGUAGGAAGGAAGGAAAUGCUUCCAUAACAGAUGUGGGAAGGAGGGGUGGGUCCAUGGAAAGAUAUUCUCUGGUGGAGAAACAAGACCAACUAAAUCCAAGUAGGAAGUUUAUGGGCUGCCAUAUUGCCUGCAUGUUCCUUGUUUUGCCUCUGCAGUGGUCCAUUCCCAAUUGUUGGUCAUUAAGCGCCUGGCCCUCCAGCUGGCCAGAGUUGGGGAAGAGGGAGAAGACCAUGCUGUAUAUUCGGCAGUGGUGCCCAUGGUAUUUCCUUCCAGACUUUCCUUCAAGCUACCUCAAAAUUAAGAGAUGUCCAAAAGGAUCACCUAGAUAGGAUGGAAGAAGUUUCCUGUAACAGAAUGAUUUCAGGUUAGUCCUUGAGUUGUGUUAUCUCCUGGGAAAGGGCCAGUGAGAAUGGAAAACUCUCCACUAGGACAAAGAAAGGAUGAAAAUCUUUAUCCUGGUGACCAUCUAAGCUGGGGAUGAACAGGUUUGCAGCUGGAAUUGGGGUGAACUCCAGAGCUGACCUAUGCCUGCAACUCUCUCUAGUUCUGCAGAAUAAGAAAAGGUAUUUAGAUGUUCCAGAGCCUGGACCUCGGUCAGAGGUGUCUGGCUCCAGCACCCUGAAGGGUGGCCCAACAUGCCAACCCCUCUUGCCAGGUGGGCAGUGGCAGCUGCCCUCAGUCUCCUCCAUCGUGGUGACAGUCUUUCUGACUGCUUUGUCUUUGGUGCCAUGGGCAUAAACUGUUCCUACUUUUCCAAAUCAAGUAUGUGAUCUUCAGGACCCCUGGAGCAUUAUUGUCUAAAACACCAGAGGAUAACUAGGGUUUUGGCAGUCAGUACUCUGGGCUUGUGCAGGAAAACUCCUUCUUUAGAACAUUUAGAAAGAAUAUCCUCCAUUCAUUCAAUGUGGAAACAGUCCUGAAAAUCCAAGCUGGUGCUAGGAUUCUGUGCCAGGUUAUUACUGUGCAAUUACUUAAUAUUCUCUGUGCUCACGGUAUCGCUUCUUCCAGAAGAUCUUUAGGGAAAACUUAGUUGGGUUUCUAGGAGGUUUUUGCUGAGCUGAAGAUCACUGUGUGAAUAAUAACGCAGGCAAGGCGUUUACAUUUGGAGGGGGAACAAGGUUAAUGGUCAAACCUGGUGAGUAUCUCUGCUGAAUCCAUAAUGAAUGCUCUGAUUUCUAAAGGAAGCCAGAGCACUGAGCUUCAUUUGGGGGUUGUUUUCUCCACUCAGUUUUUUUUUUUAAUGUUAAUUCUAAUCAUUAAUCCUAAUGAUUCUACGGUGUAUAUACGUGCCAUGCGUACAUGUGAAAACAGGCACAUAUGUAAUCAUCUGGCAUAGGAACAGAGGAGCUGGAGAAUAAUAGAUUCUUUGCCCUUUUUGUCUUAACCACUUGGGUCAGAAAGUCUGCAUUGAUCUCAGGAAUGGCUGAGCACUGGAGUGGGAGAACCGUAGCUUUGUCAGGAUUCUGCCACUCCUCGAUGGCCUGGGGAGGGGACAGCUCCGUCUGGAGGUUGGGGGAUAAGCUAUUUAACCUCAGAAGAGCCUUUCUGGCCCAACCAUGCUGUGCAUUGACCACGAUAAUAAACACUCUUCCCUGAUGCCUCUCUGGCCAGGGUCCCAGCCGGAGGAGCACGCUGGCUGGAUUUGGGGAUUGAAAGGGAUUUCCUGGUACACAUUGGCCUGGUCGGUUUCUGUAAAGCUUGCUAUGACUGUGUAAUAUUGGCAACAGCCGUAAGCUGAUUUGGGGAUUGGGGACAAGUCUGGCAGUAAAUCCAAGUGAGUACUCAAAUUAACUCUCUCCCUCAAACCUGUCUAUGCAGUUUGAAGUGUCUCAGGAACCGGCUUCUUUAGCCCUCAUGUUUAAUACGUGCAGCCAUGAGCAGUGUUUUUCUCCUCUCCACCCAAGCUGAGCUCCUGCCUACCCCUCAAUCAAAAUACCUAGAGAGGGGGGUCCAGAAGGGCAUGGUCGGAAGGCAGUUGGAAUGUGAGGCAGUCUUCUUAUAGAGCAAACAGGCGGCCCCUUCCGAAAAGAGCCAUUCAGGUUAGACGAGGUGAAAAUACGCAUCACGUAUCACAGCCUCCUUAGUCCAUCCUGUAUCAGCCUCCCCAUGCGCUGUUGGAAGAUCCUGCUCCCCUCCAGCCAAAGAUAACCCGAGCGCUGCUGGGAAGUGCUGGGACUUAGGGCCACCCAGUGACCUCCCUAAGGAACAUCUCCCCACCAUUAACUCUCCAGAAUGACUCACACUUACCAUCUAAUUUAUGCCUCUCUCAGUUCUCUUUGGCUUACAGCCUUAUGGUGGAUUUAUUAGAAGGAACAGGGAAGGAAUUGGUUUCAUCCUAAUUCUGGCCUCUCCUGAAAAGCUCUUCUCUCCAAGACUCCUCAGGAGCAUCUUAGAGACCACUCGCCCUGCUUAGAACUGUGCUUGGUACAACCAGACUGGGUCUCCUGCAGGGUUUGCUGUGGCUUUGGCAGGGGCCAGCUCCCAGGGAAGUUCUGGAGCUCCAGGCUGGAGCUGGGGGGCAAGGGGGAGAGCUGGUUAAUGCAGUGGAGCCCAGGGGCUUCAGGAAAGACACCUAUGAUAUAGGUGUGAAUGAAUUUCUGAAUGAGCUUCUGUGGGUUAACCUGGUAAGACUCUGCAGGGAGAAGGUCAGCCUUCCCUCUGCCACUCUACAUGUAAGUCAUGAGUUGCAAGAAAAAAUGGGAAACGUCAAUUGCUGUGCCAAAAUGAAGGGACUGGGUAUAAAUACUGAACCAGUUUUAAUGUUAAAUUUAUGAAAUGGAAAACUUUUCUAGGGAACCAGCUCAGGGAACAUUUAUUAGGAUUGAUGAGCUAACUAUUUCAUCAGUGCUACUGGGAUGCGCACUUUAAAGGAGAACUUAGAAUUGUUUCAGGCUAAUGGAAGGUCUAGCCCACUAUAGGUGAAUGUGAAAACUGCCUGGCAAACCCUAACUCUGCUGCUUACUAGAUGUGUGGCUGCAGGCAGGUUUUCUAAUCUUUUUACUUCUCUUUAUUCCUCAUUUUUCUUGUCUGUUAAAUGGGGAUGAUAACAGUACCUAGCUCACUGCACUGUUACUAGAUUAGGAGUGAAUACCUAUCAAGGGCCUUGCAUAGAGGCAGCAAAUAUUAGUUGUUGUUACUAGAUCAGGUUGCUGGAGGGGAGGAAGCAAAAACAGCCAUCUCCUUUUAAGUUUUUGUAAGGUGGAGUGUUACAGUGUGGCUCUAGCAACACAGGAAAACUGGUCUUUGGGCAGGGGACAGUGUUACAGGUAAAACCAGGUAGGUCUGAAUGUUUUCAAGUGAGCCAAAAUAACCUGCCACGUUCAUUCUUUGGUUGAUCUUCUCUGCCAAAUUUCUAACCAAAGACUCUUACUUUUAGGUUUUAUUUUUCUUUUACACUAGGAAGGAGGAGGUGUGUAAAGCCUGGCUUAAAUGGUCUUUUCUAACCCAUUUGGUUUCAGCUAGUGACAAAAAAGGGGGGUUGCAGAACUUGAAGUGAGUUGGGUCUGGAAUUUCUUGAUGAAGCCUGACAGAAUGUAAUUUUCUGGGAGACAUAAAAACAUCAAAUGUGAGAGGUGCACAAAAAGUAAAGGUGAUUUUACAUAAUAGCAUGCUGCAGUGGGAACCACCCCAUAGCCACUAGGAUUCUCUAAGAAGCAUCUUUCAAGGCGAAAAUGAAUAACCUAGAAAUGACAAGGUUUUGUUUUUGAAAAAAGAAGAGGGGUGGAGAGACAGGAGACUGUUGGUGAUUUCGAUUUUUUUUGGUUAAGAAACAUGGAAAACAAGAUUUUCCAUAGAAGGGUGUAUAAAAGGCUCUCACCAAGUAGGAGUCCAAAUGUGUGUGGCACACCCCUGGUGAGCUUCUCAGAGGAAGAAGAGGAGACAGUCCCAGAGUGAAGUGUUUUUGUAUUGGGCAGAAACACUGUGUCAACUACUGGGGCAAACCGGCUUGUCUUUGGAACGGGAACAAGACUCACCAUCAUUCCCCGUAAGUCCUUUGCCACUUGAGAAAAAGCUCUUAAUCUAUAAUGGCCAGCUCUCACCUCCCAGACACCUAAUGAAUUUCUAAAUGAGUUCCUGUGUAUUAACCUGAUAAGACUCUCCAAGGAGAAGGUCACCCUUCUCUCUGCAGCUCUAAAUGUAAGUCGUGUUGUAAAAAGAAAAGGAAAAAAAAAAAAAAA